UACGUAGGGACCAAGCGUUGUUCGGAUUUACUGGGCGUAAAGGGCGCGUAGGCGGCGUGUCAAGUCAAUUGUGAAAUCUCCGAGCUUAACUCGGAACGGUCAAUUGAUACUGAUGUGCUAGAGUGCAGAAGGGGCAAUCGGAAUUCUUGGUGUAGCGGUGAAAUGCGUAGAUAUCAAGAGGAACACCUGAGGUGAAGACGGGUUGCUGGGCUGACACUGACGCUGAGGCGCGAAAGCGUGGGGAGCAAACAGG
rnacentral:rRNA from 1 species